AACUCCGACUCAGUCCGACACUCUCCAGAUAUGUUGACCGGUCACUAAUACUAAAGCCAAUCCUAUCCAAACCUCAGGAGCACUACACCGAUUCAGGUGGUAAACCAAAUAGAAUGAGAUAACAAAUUAUUCUGAUUCCAUUUCUAGUUUAUUCUCAUUUCGAUUCCGAUUCCGAUUCCCACUUCGAACCAAACACACCCUCUAAUUAGUUUGCUUGCUUGCCCUUUCACCCUCAAUUAACACCCUCAACUUCACUUGCUCGCUUCUUCGUCCUCAAUUAAUGCCCCUCAACUUCACGAACGUACGGCAUCUGAGAUUGCAAGCAGCUUCUGAAAUUAUUUUUAGCGCGCACAGUUUUCCUCCUAAUUUUUUUCAAGCGGCUUCUUCCCCAUGAUUUAUUAUUUUUCUUCUCGUACAAUACUUUAAAAUCUUGUUGCUUAUCGCCGGUAGUUCACGCGUCGACGGCUUGUUGUUUGAAAUUGAUGCUUGUCGCCGGUGGUCCUCGUCGCUCGCUUGCCGUUUGACAUCGUUUCUUGAAAAUAGGUCUCUCUCUAUCUAUUUUCUCUCUUAGAUCUUCAUAUGGUCUUGGAUGUCGGUUUUUUUUGGAUUUUUAUAUUUUUGUUAAUUAGUAUGUAACCAUAUUCAACUUUCACCGAAUUAUUAGCAAGGAAAUAAGAAGGAUGAGAUAUUUUUGUCAUAAUGAAGUAAUUAAUUAGGAGAGUUUUAUGGAGAAAUUACUUAUGGUGGAUCCUUUGUUUUCUGUUAUAUAGCUUCUUGUAUAUGUAAAAUUCCAACACCUUUUUUAACAUUUCAUGAGAGUAUAUAAAAAUUUGCCUGAGAGUAUAAAUUUGAUGAGAUUAGAAGUUUAAAAUAGCACUUCAAUUUAAGAAAAGGAUAAAUGCAUAAAUGCUUUAUGAACUUCAUAGUUUGGCAAACAACCCUUUAAACUUUUACAUUUUUCUAUUGAUCUUAUGAAACUUUACAAAAUAGUUUUAAAAUGUUCUUUGUCUCCAACAAAAUUAUUUAUUAAACAAUAGUUCUUAUCACGCUUUCUGAAUAUGAUUGGACAGAAAGCUAUUUAUACACAAAAAUAGCACACCAUUUGUGGACAAAUUCUGAAUAAAAUUAUUAAUCUGUCAUAUAUACUAUUCCAUAUUUAAAGCAUUAGAAGUAUCAUACUAUAAUAAAAGAAUUCAAGUGUUAGAUAAUUUAUCAUGCGCAUUGAUCCAUUAUAAAAUUUUAAGUUUUGCUUUAUUAAUUUUUGUCACGCCCCGGGGUUCCUUUAUAAAUUCUUUUUAGGAAAACCAGUGAAAAACGUGUAAGUUUUUUUUUUUUUUUUUUGAACACCUUUGAGAACAGCCCGCGGACGGACACAGACCAACCACAUGAACAAAUUAUUCUCUAUAUAGAUGGAUAGAGUCUCCCUUAUACAUGUACAGCGUAGCAACACAACACUUUGACAACCACACUGCAACCACACAAUACAACAUCUAAUGAUCACAAUAUAAUAAUAAUUCAGGUACAUUACUUAACAUAUGAAAAUCAGUGGGUGAGGAACUAAACCAAUCCAAUAGUAGCAAUAAUAGUGGGGGGUGAGAACAUGUCCUCACGCAUCGUCUAACACUCACCAUCCGCGCCAUCUAAAAAAUUAUGGGGGGUGAGAAUAUGUAAAUAUGUCUCCCCUCCUAGUGAGUAUUGUAAGCCAACGAAGGCGAGGAGUACUCACCGGUAAAGAAAGAGAUAACCAAAGUCAUGAGCAGAUAUCAUAAAUAUAGUAGCAAUAAUACCGGAAGGAAAGAGAACAGUAAGGAGAAAUAUAACUAACCACUACUGUAAUGUAAAACAGAAUACAUAAACGGAUAUCAUAAUGUAAGGACUGAGAUUUGACAGUGUAGCUAAAGUCUCUGUUGAUGAUGUUUUUGUGUGUAAUUUAAUUACAUAACCACUUGUCAAGUUUCGAAAGAAAACGAGUUAGGAGGGAGAAGAUACGCAAGCUUUACUGAUCACUUAAGUGAAUACUAACUCGAGUUUUCCGGAGAGACCAAUCAGUGGAGAUGGCUUUUGGUGCGUAUUGGACUCCGUUCAUAGUGAUCCAAUAGCUCGUUUUCGACGGUUGGACUAUCCUGGACCCAAUGGCACUGACGGAUUUGGAUUUUGAUGCACCAUUUUUGAGAAAAAGGGGGUUUAUCAGAUUUAUAUAUAUAUGUGUGGUUUUUGGAAUUGGAGAGUGGAAUAGGUUUUGUCGCAAAUCGGCGACCAUAUCAGGCAAAACAAAAUUGUGAAUUUGACGCCCCUGUCGUACUGAUCGCAUUAGUGCGAUCCGUUCGCAAAUCUGAUAGACGGAUCUCUUGAUAUCGUGCAUUGAUCGAGGAUGGGUCAUUAGUGGCGAAAUGGUAAUUUUGUGAAAAGUCCUACAUUUUAUGUAUCGUUUUGCGUAAAAUCGAUUGUUAGGGUGUGUUCGCGCGUUUUACUCGCGUUGUGAGGGAGUUAGUUUAAAAUAUGAUGUUUUGGAGGACCUUUGCGUAAAAUGAGCUUCUUAUAUAUAUAUAGCUCUUUUAGGGUUUGCAUGAUACAGAGCCUAACCCUAGCCCUCAGGUGACCCCCAACCGCCUGUUGCCCCCUCAUCUCGUGCACCGCACGCCUCCCAACUGCCGCCGCCUGAGCUCAGGCCGGUCACUACCUCCUCAGGCUGUCUUUCUUUCCAUCUCCCUCACAUUGCAUGCACUCGGCUUCCCAUCCCUGCCAAGAGCAUGUGGAGUGUCCCUCCCCCUCCGGCUCCUCCCGAGCAUCACCCUGGAACUUUGGCUGCCCGUCGCUACCGCCCCGAGGUGCCCUGAGCGUCACUGCUGCGCUGCUGCAACCCUGCAGGCUCCCUGGGAGAGCUCAGGCGGAGCUGAGCUCGCAACUUCUUCCUAGCACCUCAUCCGCCCGGGUCUGUACCCGCAAAUCCCCUCGCAGCCCUCCGGCACCCCCGCCUCCCGCCGAAGUAGUCGUCGCCGCCGCUGCACGCCUAGGGCGCCGCUGCGACGACCUUUAGAGAGAUCCGAACCUAGGCGGCCGCGCUUGAGCUGCGGGCCGCCGCCGCCAUCGCUCGCCGUCUUUCCUCUCUUCCUUGGGACCUCGGGGAACCUUCGCAGCCGAUUGACGCCGCCUCGGCCGCCGCCGAGGCCGGCGUGGAACCCCGAGCCCUAGUGCGGCUUGUACCGGCUCGGGUUGCUCCACGGCCACCGUCACCGACCGGCACGAGCCCCGAACUCCCUUCGUCGGCCGCAUCCAUCAGCCGCUAGCGCGCCCGCCCCCGAGCCGCCACCAGCUGUGCCCUAGCUCCUCCCUGCCGGCAAGGCUAUUUGGUACUAUUUUUGGUUGCUAUUCUAGAUUGCGCAGGCUUUUUCGGCAAUCCGAGGGUGUUCCAAUGCCUCCGGAGGUGAGCACGGUGAUCGUCGGUUAGUGCUGAUCACAGUGCUCAUCUCAUUUGGGGCUAAUGAGCCACGGAUUGGAGAAUUAGACCGGUUUUAAUUUCAACGUGCAUGCAGAGUUUGCUGAACUUCAAGUCGCUCCCGUGCCUCCCACAGUGGACGGCCAUGCUCCGAAUCAUGAGCACGGCUUCCGGCACAUCGAGACCUAUUAGCGUGUGUCUCAACAAGGCUCGAAAGUCCUCAGUUUGCUCUAUCGGGUCGUAAAAUCCCGAAAAUCACAUAAAAUAAUGUGAUUUUAGGUGAUCACAGGGACUUUUACAUAAUUGCACACUUUGUGGGUGCUGUGGGCAGUACGUGUGGGAUGCGGCUGAUCUCUGGACUGAUUGUCCAAGGUCUGAUGCUCUCUGCAAAAUAGGAGGUCGAUUUCGGUGCGUUUUUCGGCGAAAUUCGUCGGCGGAACAUGGUUUUGCUUCGAAUUUCAUCCGACGGUGUGUGUUUGCCCUGAGUUAUGUCGCUGAGACUUGUCGACUAGUCAUCAUAGUCAUAUCGUGAGUUUGGAGAUGACGAGUGAGCGACGGAGGGUUCCGGCGUCGAAAUUGACACUUCCGGAAACCCGGAUCCGAACAAUUAUCCGACGAUAAUUGUUUGGUUGUGUAUUCUUGUGUUUGCUGCCAAGAUAUCCAAAUUGAUGUGUUUUGGGGCAGCGGGUGACUCAUGGCACAAGUCGGUCAGUUUCGAGACACUUUAUGAGUCCUAGCGGAGUCCCGGUGCGAGAUUCGAGACUUCAGGCGAGUUACGGUAAUCGGUUUUGGGAAACCGAUUCCCGUGGGUUUAUUAGUGGGGAUUAUGAUUUAGUGAUUCAUAUUCAUGGGUUGGAUUCUAUUCCGGUGACCCUUCGUAGGCCCGAUUGAUACUUCUUCCGCAGUUGGAAAACCGGUGCCUUACACGUACAGGUGGGUACUUCGACCCGAAAUCGGUACAGUGGUGCACGCUCGGUGACAUCUUUUCUACUCUUCUCUUAUUAUAAUUUUUGCAUGAUAUAUGUUGAGCCUUGCACCUUUAUUACCUCUUUAUCGCUCUACUUGGUUUGUUUACUUAUCUAACCUCAUAAGUAGAAGUAGAGCAGGUUUAUGAUUACAUGUAAGAGUUGUGACCUAAUCGGUCAGUUCUUGUAUCUCGCACUAUGACCUAUUCGGUCGGUUCAUUGCAUCUAGCAUUAUGACCUACUUGGUCGGUUGGACUACUUGGUGACCUAUACGGUCGGUAUACCCUGAGGGGUAGGAUUGUCGGCUAGUUGCCGACGGUUGGCUAUUGAGCAUAUCAGCAUUGAUCACCCAAGACUCGUUUGCAUUUCAAGAAGCUAUCUGAUCCACCGCAAGAUGGUCUUAUUUUCUGAAAAAGUGGUUGGGCGUGCCAAGCCAUGAGCCCAGUGGCCUAGACUAGGUUAUAUGAAGGUAGAGUAGCAGUGGCACACACUUGAGUCUGUGGACCGAUAUGGUAUGUUUCAGAUUGGGUAUUUUUGGACUUAUCGUCCGGUUGAUGCAUUCAUACAGUAGCGGUAGUUAUUCAUUUAUACAUCCCGUUCUUUUAUUUAUCAUUGCUGCUGUAUUACCUUUAUUUGUAUCUUUAUUUAUUCUCCUUGACUGGUGAGUACCCCUCGCCCUCGUCGGUUUGCGGUACUCACUCGGAGGGGAGACAUGUGUACAUUUUCUCACCCCCCACCUCCCUUUAAGGUGACGUCGCGGGUCCCAUUGGGACGGUUCGUGAGGAGCGCACUUAGCGAUCGGUAGAGCUUUCGGACCCAUCUAUUCGGUUUAAUUCUCAAACUUGUUUUCUUUUAAUAAAUAACUUAGAAAGUAAUUAUGGUUCAGUAUUUUAUGUUAAUUGAAUAAUUGGGAUUUCAUGAAUGUAAUAAAGAAUUUAUGGAUUCUUGAGAAAUAAAAAUGGUUUUCUACCCCUCAUGGUAGCGCGCUUUUAAAAGAAAAAGGUUUCAGUGUGGGAAACGAUUUUUAAAAGAUUUUAUUGGUUUUCAUGACUUAGUGUUUCAAAAUGGGUUUCUGGGUAGGAAACAUUUUAAACUGAUAGAUGUAGAUUUAUGAAUAUUUUUGAUGAAAUGAACGUGGAUGUGAAUGGUGAAUGAAUAUGGAUGUUCAUAUGUUGUGGUUAUAUCUUGCACUUGUGCGACGUCGUGCAAAUGCAGGAGAGACUAUGUCCCUGCGAAGAGUGGACUCUAUGUAUUUGUGGCAGAUCUUCCAUACCCUCGGGGUCAAGGUUUAAAAAAAUAAUAAUAAUAAAUUGGGCACUUCUGCAUUGGUUUUUAAACCAAAAAGGAACUCGGGGCGUAACACAUAACCACAGAAGCAAUAAUACAGAGAUAAACAACAGUAAAGGGGAAUAUAACUAACUGCUAUUGUAAUGCAGAAUAGAAUGCGAAUAUGCAUCAACCGUACAAAUCAUUCAAAAAUACCCAAUCAAUUUGCCAUAUUGGUCUAAAAACCGCAGGUAAUGUCAUACCACGCUCACCCACCUGGUAUAUGACCCAAGCAUAAACUCCUGGGCUCAUGGGCUGGACUCACCCACCUGGCAUAUAACCCUAGCAUAAGCUCCUGGGCUCAUGGGUUGGUACUCCCAAUCACUUUUCGAAAAAAUACACUCCCUUGAGGUGGAUCAAACUGCUGGUGUACGUGUGCGUCUGGGCUGUGGCGAUCGAUGCAAUAUGCUCCAUAGCCCACUGUCGGCGAAUAGCCGAGGUAAAGUCCAACAAAUAGUAGCUGAGCAACCAGGUCAACCUCUAUCUCAAGGAUAGGACAAUAUCACCGAUCACGAAGUCAACUAAUGUCAAAUCAUACCAUGUAUAAAUACGAGUGUCACUAACUAUGAAGUAAACUAAUAUCAAAUCAUAGUAUGUAUGUAUACGAGUGCCACCGACUAUGAAGUCGACUAAUGUCAAAUCACGGUAUGUAUGAAUACGAGUGUCGCCGACUAUGAAGUCAACUAAUGUCAAAUCACGGCAUGUAUGAAUACGAGUGUCACCGACUAUGAAGUCAACUAACGUCAAAUCACCGCAUGUAUGAAUACGAGUGCCACCGACUAUGAAAUCAACUAAUGUCAAAUCACAACAUGUAUGACUCAAUCAUCAGAAACAUCACUCCACUAUUAAAUCAUGACCAUGUGAAAUAGGAAUAACGAAAGAAGUCAAGUGGUGUAAGAAUGCUCAAUAAAUAUCAAAUAACGAAAGAAGAUAACAAGAAUAGAGAUCACUGAGCAUGCACCACUUUACCGACUUCGGAUCGAAGUACCCGCCUGUCACAAUCGUGUUUGAAUCCUGGACACACGAGAAGUCAGUUGGACCUACGAUGUCACGCCCCGGGGCCGAUUUUAAAAGCCUUUUUAUAAUGAAUACAAUUUUGAAAUCCGAAUUGUGGAAAACGUGCCAUUUUUUUUUUUUUAAUUCAGCCCGGUCCACGUGACGUACAGACCCGCCACAAAUACAAAGUUCCUAUGACCACACGGACAGAGUCUCCUUCGUAUUUGCACAGCAUACCAACAACAAUAUCAGGAUCAGAACAACAACUUACAUUCACCAAUCCACAAACAAUCCAUGUGAUGUAUUUUCAUACAGCUAGCGAUCCUUAGAGAUGAUGCAUGCCUCUAAGCACUCUUUAGGCACUGGAUGAUGCGAUGCACAGUACAACACUCAUCCUAUUUAAAAAUGCUCCCCAUCCGGAAGCUUUGUUUUUAAACUCUAUAUAAUCCUCCAUAAAUUAUUUGAAAACCUUUUAAAACUGUUUCCCACUAGAAAACUCCAUUUUGAAAACCAACUACCUCGAGGGGUAGAAAACCACGAUGUAUAAAUACGUAAAUCCAAAACUAUACAUUCAUAAAUCUCCAAUCACAUGUAUCAUAGAAAAACAUCAACUCAAACCAGUUCACAAAUAUUGAAACAUUUAUAGUGAUCAUCUAACUGAACCAUUUAAUUAUUUAAAAUUACUAAUGUGGAAAUGAAACAUAACUAGGGUGAUGGUCGCUGCUGCAGUCUAGCUAAUACGUCCUCCUAUCACACCAAGAAUCAACUCCUCGCUCAAGUCACCUGGGGAAAUGGGGGGUGAGAAACCACAAUCAAGGUUUCCCAAUAGGUACGACAGAGCCACGAAGGCAUAUCGUAUUCACUGGAAAACAAAGGAGAUAGAACAAACUGAUAUAUAUGUGAUAUAAAAGAGCAACUACAAUAGUAAUAAAAACAUGAUAGUAAAUGAGGAAGAACCAAACUACUAAUGUAACAAAAACUCAAUUGAACAGAUGCCUCAAGAGUAAAUAACCCAAAAUCAAACUCAAUCUGGUGCUUGCUAUAUUGGUCUGCAGGCCUCAAGCGUUGCCUGUCACAGAGCAUACACUGACUUGAUUCAUACGUCCACCGACGACCUAUCCGAAUACGUACACCCCCUGGUUGGUGGCCAAACCAACCGGUGUCUAGAAUACACAGUGCUGUGACUAAAUUAUGUUGAUAUGCUCAAUACGAAAAUCGGUAGAAAACCGGUGCCUUGGCCGAAGCCAGAUGCAAGGGCGUACAACUCCAAACUACGAUUAACUAGAUCGAAAGACAUGACAAAGGGGUCGAUGUGUUGCCUGAACCCAAGAUCCACAGAUAUAUAAUAUAUGCAAGCCCGCUCUACAUGUCUAUCUACAACUAUCAUCAUGCAAUCAACAAGGUAUAGAUGAACGAAUGAUAAACAAAAGUAAUCAACAUGUAGAGACUACAAUAUUGAUAUAGAAGGACAGGGGAAAGUGAAACAAUCUCACCGACUGCUAGCUCGAAGCACCCACCUGUCACUAUCGCGUAGGGAACCUCGGUGCACAACAAGUCAACCGGACCUACGAAGAUCCAUUGGGUCAGUAACCAAUCCACCAAUCUAAAAUACCCAACUCACAAACCCCACACAAAUCCUCAAAAUUGGUUUUCUUAAACCGAUCACCGUAACUCGCCGGAAGUCCCGAAAAUCGCACGGGGACGCCAGCGAGACCCACUAAGUGUUCCGAAACUCACAGACUCAUAUCACGAGUCACCCGCUGCUACAAAACACAUCAAUUUGGAUGUCUUGGCAGCAAACACAAGGUAACACAAAUAAACAAUUAUUGUCGGAUAAUUGUUCUGAUCCGGUUUUCUGAAAGUGUCAAUUUCGACACCGGAACCCACCGUCGCUCACCCGUCAUCUUCGAACCCACGAUAUGAUGAUGGUGACCAGCUGACAGGGCUCAGCGACAACUCUCAAGCAAACAAACACCGUCGGAUGAAAUCCGACCCGAAACCGCGUUCCGCCGGCAAAUUUCGCCGGAAAACGCACUGAAAUCGCUAUUCGAUUUCCACAAAAGCUAUCGAACCUUGGACAAUCAGUCCAGAGGUCACCACACACACAUACAUACUGCCCACAGUAGCCACAAGAUGCACAAUUGCAUAAAAAUUCCUACAUUUACAUAAAAUCCUAUUAUUUUAUGUAAAUCGGGUGAUUUUGUGGCUCGUUAACGCAAAUCGAGGACUUCCAAGGUCCGCCAAGACACGUACUGACAGGUCUAGACCUUCCAGAGGCCGUGCUCAUGAUCCGGAGUGCAAAAACUCAUUGUGGAAGGCGCGAGAGCGACCCAAACAAUCAGUGAACAACACGCACUCGGGAAAAACCGCACCGACAACGCAACUUCGAAAGCCGCUGAUCCAAAGUGAGGUGAGCACCGUGAUCGUAACUGACUAGUGAUCACCAUGCUCACCUUCGGAGGCAUCGAAAUAGUCUCAGAUCGCCGAAAAAGCGUACGCAAACCAAAACAGCAACCAAAAACAGCACUGUGAAGACUUACCGAGCAGUGGGAGCUAGGGCACGGCGGGAGAUCCCCGAGGCUCUGAGGGAGGCGGCAGAGGAGGCCUCGGGUGGCGGCGGCGCGCGGGCUAGCAGCUGAAGCUCAGGCUCGAGCUCGCCCAAGGAGCCCGUAGGGCUGUAGCAGCGUCGCGGCAGUGCUCGAGGCGACAACGACGGACUGCCUGAGGUUGGAGGGAUGUCGUCGGGGUGGUCCAGGGUGGCGGAGGCUUGAGGAAAAGGAAAGAACUUGGCCUCAGCCUCAGCAGACCUGGGGCGGUAGUUAGCUGUCGGGGGCGACUGCGGCGGACCAUAGGGAUGGCGCCGAGGGUCGCGGGAGGGCGGCACGGCUGACCAAAGGUGGUGGCGGCGCGCGGGCCAAGAACUACAAUGCCCUAGGCCCGAGCUUGCCCAGGCUGGCCGCAGCUGCAAAGGGCGGCAGUGGCGGCGCACGGCCGCUGUGGCUACCAGCAGGGCGAGCCUCGACGGGGUUGGGGCGACGCCGGCGGGGAGCAAGGAGACAAUGCAGCCUCAUACCUCAUCUCCAACUCGAAAGGAAUAGAGAGAGAAAGAAAAGCCUUCUCAGGCGGCCGGCAGCCUGCGCAAGCGUCCGAGGCGCACACGGUGCACUCAGGGGAGGGAGAUGGAGGUGGCUAGGGGCACAACUGGGGUUAGGGUUAGGGUUUGCAUGAAGAAACCCUAGUGCAUACAUAUAAACAGGGUGCAAUUUUGCACAAAAGUCUCCAAAAACUCAGAUUUUCUUACUGAGUCCCUCACAGCGCGAGUAAAAUGCGUUUACAUACCCCCACGUUUGAUUUCACGCAAAACCGUACAUAAAAUGUUGGGCUUUUCGCAAAAUUACCGUUUCUUCACUUGACGCGUGAUAUCAGGAGAUCCGUCUGUCAGAUUUGCAAACGGAUCAUACCAGUACGAUCAGCACGAUAGAGACAACAAAUUCAUUAUUUUUGUUUUACCUGGUUUUGGUCGCAGAUUCACGACGAAACUCAUCCUCUUUCCAAAAGGCAAAACCCGCAUACAAAUACAUAUAAUAUAUGUAUCUCUAGUUUUUUAGAAAUUUGUGUGUCAAACCUAAAAUCCGUCAUCACCAAUGGUUCCAUAAUAGUCAGACCAUUAAAAACUAGCUAUUGGAUCGCUAUUAACGAAGUCCGAUACGCGCCGGAAGCCAUCUCUACAACUUGGCCCCUCCGAAAAUUCGGGUUACUAUUCACUUUAAGUGAAAAGUAAAAGUCGCGUAUUUAUUCAUUCAAACUCUUUUCUCUCGAAACUUGACAAGUUCUUUUGUAAUUAAAAUACACACCAAAAACAUCAUCAACAGAGAGUUUAGCUACACUGCCAAAAUCUCAGUCCUUACAUAUGAUAAGUCCACCAAGUAAAAAACAAAUCCCUACUGACUCAAUGUAAGACUCACACAAUCCCACAUCCUGAGAUUCGGUUUUCCAACAAUCGAUCAACGUAAACCGCCGGAAACGUCCCAAAAUCGCACUGGGACGUCCCUCAGGCCCAUAGAAGGUCCUAAAAGGCACCGACUCUCACCAGGAGUUAACCGCUGCCCCGAAACACACCCAUUUUGGUGUUUCGGCGGCAAACACUAAGUCCCACACCGAAACGAUUAUCGUCGGGUAACCAUUCCCAUCAGGGUCCCCAAUAAUGUCUAAUUCGACAUCAAAAUCCACCGCCACUCAGCUGACGUCUCCAAUCACUCGAGAUGGCUAGGUGACUAGCCAACAAGGCUUAGCGGCGAAACCUAUCGUAUCCCAAAGGUGUUGGAAGAAUCCCGAGCCGAAACCGUAUUACGUUGGCGAAUUUCGUUGAGAAACACACCGGAAAUCAAUAUUUGAUUUUCGCAAAGGCCUCGGACACUGGACAAUUAGUCGAGAGAUCACCGGCCACCCACACAUACUGCCCACAAUAGCCAAGAAGCAUACAAUUGCGUAAAAGCCCCCACUAAUACAUAAAAUCAUAUUAUUUUAUGUGAUUUUCGAGGUUUUACGGCUUGAUACCGCAAACCGAGGGCUUACGAGGUCAGACGGGACACGUACUGACAAAUCUCGAUGUGUCGGAGGCUGUGUUCAUGGUUUGGAGUAUAGCAGGUCAGUGUGGGGGGCGUGGGAGCGACUCGAAGUUCAGCGAACCUUGCGCACUUAAUUUAAACCGCACUUAUUUCGCAAAUCAGGGGCUCGCGGACCCCAAAGGAGAUGAGCCUGAUGAUCAGCAUUGACCAGAGAUCAUCGUGCUCACUUCCGGAGGCAUCGGGGUAGCCUCGGAUCGCCGGAACAGUGAUCCCGACCUAAAAUCAUGCACAAAUAGCCUUUAAUUGGCUUACCGGGCAAAGGGGGUGCUCGGGUUUGGCCGGCAGCUGCUGGGCGGCGGGCGCACCAGCGGUAGGUGGGUGCGGUCGGUGGGAAGAAGUCGACGCUCGCACAAGUCGGCGGCGUGAGGCAACCAGAUGGGCGGCGGCGAUGCCCUAGCCGGCACAAGAUGGGGGGAGCUCAGGCUCAGCUUUUCCGACGACGGCAACUUCGGGACAACACCAAUCGGCUGCGGGUGUUAAGUCUUGUGUGUUGGCAAGUUUCGUGAAGUAAGUCGGAGUCUUGAAGAAUUGGUGAGUGUCGUCGAAGAUUGAAGAAUUCAAGAUUUCGAAGAAGUUGGAAAAUGACUCACGAUGUGAAUCACGACGUAAAGGUAAUGUGUUAAUUUAUGUUAUGGUGAUUCAUACUUAGUUAUAGGCAUUAGAAUCAUUAUUAUCAAUGUUUAGCUGAUUAGAAAGUGCUUGGAAACUCUGUGGAACCCGAAACAGUGCAAAGUCUGAAAAUUGCAUUGUGUACUGGUAUAGCCAUUGCCCCGUACCGGUACAGCCAUCGACUUUGGCUUCGCAAAUUUGUUCGGUCAUUAUGUAACCGGUGACAGCCUCUCGUGUAUCGAUACACAGUGUAAAAUCGUGAAAACUUUCUAAUCCGACUCCGAUUGAUUCUAAAGUCUAUAAAUAAGCUAUUGGGGUUCUCUAACUUAUCAAGCAUCACGAAAAUACAUGUUUGAAAAACCCUAGAGGCUCGGAUUUCAUCUAAAACCUAUUUUCUACAUAUUAGCCUCUUUUAGGUCAAAUCGAGAUAUUGGAAUUUCAUAUAUAUAUGUCGAUUUGAUCUUCGCUUCGCUUAAAGUUCUCUUCCCUGGUUUUCAUCAAUACUCUAGGUGAAGGAUCACCAUACACAUGAUGUUCUUCAUGAUGGCGUCGUGGAUUCGGCGUGAUUGACGACGGUUCGUGGAUUCGGAUCGUGAGCUUCGUGGAUUCGAAGUGGAGGCGUUUCGUGGAUUCGGAACGUGGCGUUCGUGGAUUCGAACGUGAGGGCGUGGACAACCCGGAGGAUUGCGCGAGAUUCAUAGGAGAUUAAGAUAGGUCGAGUCCGUGGAGUCGGUAAUCACCUUGUAAUCUUUUCUCUUAGUAAAUUAUUUUUUCGCGUGUUGGUCUUGUGGGUUUUUUACUCUAAGUUGGAGUUUCCCCACAUAAAUCUCGGUAUGAUUUUUAUUUUUCGCAUUUAUUUUUUAUCGCAUUGAGAUUUGUGGUUUUUGGCUAUUACACCUAUUCACCCCCCUCUAGGUGUUAGAUACAAUCUAGAUAGAUCCUUGGGCACCCCAAAACUUAUAGCGGGGGUCCCCUGGGGUCACCGGGAGGAGAGAGGAGGCGACGGGCGACGACGGCGACAGCGUGCAACUUCGCACGGCCGCCCGAGUAGAUCCCAGUUUAGAGGAGACUGCGGUGGCACCCUGAGGGCGCGUCGGCGGCGAUCACUCCAGUCGGGCGCAGGGAAGGCCGAGGGCUGAGAUGAGGGUUCAGUUGGCCUCGGGAUGCCGUGGGGAAAUUGACGCAUGGACUCCUGCCACGCGCAUGCCCCAGCUCCACCCCACAAGUCAUAGGGCUCGGUGGCUCACGGCGGGGGCAUGGCAGCCGGGGGGAGCCUCGAUGGAAGUUGGGGCCACGCCGGCAGCAUCCAGAAGGGGAGGGAAACCUCAGGUCUAACUCCUACCAGAGAAAAAAAGAACAAGAGGAAGUGAAGGAAGGAGAGUAGAGGAAGGGUGGCCUAGCAGCAGCUUCAGCCGGCGGUGGCAGGUCGGCGGCGGCGGCUGCGCGCAGAGAGAUGAGGAGAAGGGGCUAGGGGCUCGGAUGAGGGAGGAGGGCUCUAGGGUUAGGGUUUCCACCUUGGAAACCCUAGAUGCCACUUAUACAAGAUGACCAUUUUGUAAAAUAGUCCUCCAAUACUCAUUAUUUUCUUUUGAGUCCCUCACAGUGCGAGUAAAACGCACGUACGUACCUCCACGUUCGAAAUCACGCAAAACGGUACAUGAAAUAUAGGGUAGUUACGUGAGUUUUCUAUUUUGUCACUCUCGACCCCUAUGUAAACAAUAUGUAACUACAGGAGAUUCGUCUGUCAAAUUUAUGAACGGACUACACCAGCGCGUUCAGCACGUUCGAGGCAUCGACAUUACUAUUUUGUUUCGCCCGAUUCAGUCGCCGAUUUGCAACAAAACCAUCCUCUUUUCGAUUCUCCAAAAACCACACACACACACACACACACAUGUGUGUGUGUGUAUGUAAAUCAAAUAAACCUCAAAUUCAAAUUUGAAUUUGAAUUUCCUACCAAUGGUGGGUACCCGAACUGUCACGCCCCGAGACCGCUACCAAUUCGGUCCGGUUCGGGCGCGUCAAACAGACGCUGAACGGACAGCACCUCCCCUGUCCGCCCAAGGCUAAGCAAACAGAUCAUGUAUAAGAAUUUACCUAGAAAUCAAUUCAUACAUACACGAUCACAAGGAGCACCACCAGUGCUAACAAAUAAGAGCAAGAUACAAGUAUGAGACAUACAAGUAAAUAAAGAGAGAAAGUUCUAUCUAUUACAUUCAUUCAACCUCUUUAAUACAUCGAUUUACUUUCAAAACAUAAACAUAAAUAUAACAUGCUUUUACAUCUUCCAAAAUAACCUCACACCUAUACAUUAUCUACUCUCAAAUACAGAGGGUGACGGCUAAUGCAAAGGAAGUAAAGCUAGCUAAUGCAACUAGGGCGCUAGGCUCUUACCGUGAUCCUCACGCUCGCCCUGGACAAUCGAACUCGGACCUGUAAAGAGUGGGGCGAGAACUAUCUUCCAUAGUUCCCAGUGGGUUCGGCCGCCGACUCCGCCGGUCUCCCCACUAGGUCCAAAUAGGCACAAGUAGAUAAACAGAUAGAUAGAUAUGGAAAGCUGUGAUAGCAGAAUAGUAAAGCUACACUAUUAUGCCCGAAUCAUGUAUAUGAAGAAUGCAUGCACAAUGAAGUAGGUAGUCAACUGGCUCGUCAUAUGUCCAAGAAGCAAAGCUAUUUACUUGUUCAUCAAUCUCGUAGCUCACUCAAGAAUUCGCCCACUUCUCACAUAGCCAUCUCGACGCGUAGGGAGGCUAGACUCAAACUACGAAUCCGAGACCGUCUGCGGGACCCCACAUAGGCCAUCCCUCGGGACCCCAAAUAGGCCAUCCCUAUCCCACGGGACCCCAAAUAGGCUAUCCCACGUGACCAACUCCGAAGGGCACUACUUGUGUGGAGCGACCAUCACAAGUCGGGAACAGACAGUGAGUAUGAUCCAAUUCUCUUACCUCAAGGGUACCCUAUCCUCUAGGGUUACUAUUACCAUAAUUAAUGGGUUUCAUAUACGCUACGACUCACAUAUGCCACUCGUUUUUUGUUUACUAACAACUAGAUGCCACUCGUUCUUUUGUUUGAACCAUUGCAUCAUUCUUUCAUCGCUGCACUAUAGCAUUACAAGUCUCGACCCAAUACUCAUCAAUCCACUAUAUCCAGCAACUAAUACAUAAUAUGAUAUCAGCUAGGAAAGCAUAAGGAAAGGCAAUGCACCAUUAUCCUACAAUGCAUGUGAACACAAGAUGCAAGGUCUCAAAAUACUAAGACAUAAGAGGGAGCCCAGUUGCUUCGGGAUGGUCACCACCCACCUCUUGGUAAUGCCACGAUGGUAGAAAACUCGACUUCGUAGUCCUUGGUCGGCGCUUCGAUUCCUGGGGUCGAUUCGAACCCUUAAGCGCUAGAUUCGGCGAUAUCUUCGCACCCGCUCGUCGUAUCGACGAACCGUCUUCGCCGACACGUUCCGAGACCUAGCAAUUAGGUUUACAACCCAUCGAAAUAGAUCAAAACCUCAUGUUUCCAAGAAUCCCAAAACGUGCCCUAGAAUGGCAACGAGAGAGAAAUCUAUGGUUCGAGCUUCGAAUCCGCUGCUAGAACCAUCUAUUUAUCUCCUCUAGGUUCCAUUCAAACCACCUCUAAGCAAUAAAACCCAAUCUCAAGAAAUUCACCAUGGAUGGGUUUGGAGCUUACCUCUAUACCAAGCUCCAAGCUUGCUCUAGCUUGAAGGAGAGAGGGAGGAGAUGAUCUUCUUCUUCUUCUUGGUCUUCUCCUUCCUCUUCUUCUUCUUUUCCUUCUUUCCCUUCUUCUCCUUCUCUUCUUCUUUUCCUUUCAUUCUAGAGAGAGAAGGGGAGGGAGAGAGAGAGCAAAUGAGACAAAUGGGAGAGAGAGAAAGGUCCCCCACCUCUCAUAUAGGCUAUUUUACAAAUAGGCCCCUCAACUUUCCAUCUAUUAAACAGCCCUCACUGGGCUGAUUUCGCAGCGAGGGACCGGUCCCAGGUCGGGGAGAUCGAUCCCCGAGAGCCUUCCAUCUCGGGCAGAGAGAGUUUCACGUUCGGGAACCGGUCCCUACCUGAGAGACCGAUCCCCGGGAGACCGGUCCUUGUCCAAGAGACCGAUUUCUGAGAGUUGAAUUUUCGGGACUUAGCCAAAUUUCGGCCUUUCUCGCUGGGUUAACGUUCGGGGACCGGUCCUCCCCUGCCAAGGACCGGUUGCAUCAAGGAUCCCCGCAAGCCCAGCCUAAUAGGACCGGUCCCUCCUUGCCAGGGACCGGUCGCCGAGAGCAAUUAUGCUCCAGUGCAGAUUUUGCACUGCUGCUCUCGCGAACCCUUCCUUAAUGCACUUCAUGCAUUUUAAUCACCUUCGGACUUCCCGAAAACUACACACUCAACAAUUAGUCGAUCCUGAACGAAGUUAAAUCCUUGGAUUUCGAGAAUUCACUUCCUUACACGAACCAUCCCCCCCACCCUACACCAGGACAUAAGCACGGAGCACGAGAAGUUUCACAAUGCAAGAACAACAAAGAACAAACCCUUUUUGCGAUAAAAUCCAAUUUUCUUGGAAAUCGUGUGUCAAAACCAAAAUCCAUCAGCGCCAAUAGCUCCAGGACAGUCGAAUCGUUGAAAACGAGUAUUGGAUCACUAUGAACGAAGUCUAAUACGCACCAGAAGCCAUCUCUACUUACUGGCCUCUCCGGAAAAUCAGAGUUACUAUUCACUUUAGGUGAUUAGUAAGGAUCGCGUAACCUCUCUAUCCUAACUCAUUUUCUUCUGAAACUUGACGAGUGCUUAUGUAAUUGAAUUACACACCAAAACAUCAUCAAUAAAGAGUUUAGCUACACAGACAAAUUCUCAUUUCUCGCAAUUAUAAUCUUUCAUUAAAUAAUUUUUUGUCUUCUUAAUGCUAUAUAAAAGAAAUAAUCAUCUAAUUUUCCUAAAUAUUUAUUUGCUUUUUUUUUGCUGUUAGCUAAAAGAGAGCAAUCUCCUCUAAUCUCUAUAUUCAUACUGUGACUGGAAUCCCAUCUCACAUUCAAUAUUGUUAGCUACCCACAUAUAACAGAGCAAUUUCUGAGAUGUCCCAGAGCAGGUACUUCUUUACAUUCCAAAUAAGAUUAAAAGAUUUCAUGUUCAGCAAAUUACUCAUUGUAGAGUAUUUAUAAUUCAAGUAUAUGAGAUAAUCUAUAAUAUUUGAUCCUUUCCUUGUCUCAAAACUCUUUUGUUUUACUUUUUUGUUUGAACUUGCAUAAGAAAAUGUUUAUUGUAUUGCUUAUUUUUGAAUGUUAUCUAUUUUAUGCAUAUUUAUCUUAUUAAUUCACUUCUAUUUCAGAAUUUUUGAUCACUUAUUGCUCAGGAUAUUAAACUAUUAUAUACAACCACAUAAUUUGACAUGCAAAAAUAUAAAGUAUAGUACACUUAAUCACUUUUAUAUUUUAAAAGUAAAAUUUAGGUUCAAUUUUAACUUCUCUCUUAUUAUUUUUAAAGAUUCUUAGUCUUAAAAUAUUUUGUAUUUCACAUUAUUGUUACUUAUAAAACUUGUAAUUAAAAGUGUUCAAAACUAUCACCGUUAGGGGCCGUUUGGUUCGAGUUAUGUAUUAUUAUAGAGUAUUUUUACUAAAUUUUAUUUUAAAUAAUUUAAAUUUGAACAAAAUAAAAAAUUUAAUAUUUUAUAAUAAAAUAUAAAUGAUAAAUUUAUAAAUUUAAAAUCUAAAAUUUAAAUAUAAAUAUAAAUUUAAAAUUUUUGAUUUAAAUUUAAAUUUUAAAUUUUAAAAUUUAAAAUUUUAGAUUUAAUUUUUAAAAUUUAAAAUUUUAGAUUUAAUUUUAAAAUUUAAAAUUUUAGAUUUAAUUUUAAAAUUUUAAAUUUAAAUUUUAAAUUUAAUUUUAAAAUUAAAAAUUUAAAAGUUAAAAAAUUAUAAUUUAUAAUUUAAAAAUUGAAAUUUGAAGUUUUAAAAUUUAAAAUUUAAAAUUUCCAAAUUUAAAAUUUAAAAAUUUAAAUUUGAAAAUUCAAAAUUCAAAAUUCAAAAUUCAAAAUUCAAAAUUUAAGAUUUAAAAGUUGACAAUUCAAAAUUUUAAAUUAAAAUUUUAAAAUGACGUACUGAAAGGGUUUCGGUAGUUGGAGGGUUAAACUUGUAAUUUUAUUUAACAUGCAAGAUUAGCGGACUUUAGUAAUCCAAAGAUACACACCACUCUCCUCGGUAAUAUUUUUUGUGUAAUUCUGCACUAUUUGUAAUGCUACAUUACUGACCAUAUUACAUAUCGGAUGAACCAAAUAUAGUAAUCCUAGCGGGAUUGCCUGUAAUCCUGUCACGAUAACCUGAACCAAACGCAAUCUUAUAGGAAUGCCCUCUAGAGCAUAACUAAAAGAGUUCAUAGGUGAUUCAAGCACAACGAUCAUGGAUAAGAGUUGGAUAAAUCUAUGUAAUAUCUGAGAUUUUGAAUAAAAGAAAUUUAAUUUUGAAUUUUGAAAUUGAUAUAUACCGAAUGAAUCGUCAUUGGUUGAUAGCAAUUUAGGGGAUAAUUAGAUAGUUUCUGUUUGGCAUAGGUCAGGGCAAAAUCGAGACAAUCUAGCAAGGAUUGUGUGCUUGAUUUUCUCCAAUUUAGGUGCAUGCUUCGAUCCGGGUAUUGGUAUAGUCGAGGUUGGUGAAACACGCCAAUAGUCUCACAUCGGAUAGAAAAGAAAAUUUGAUUUCGAAUAUAACGCCACACACCCUAAUAAUAAUAAUUAUUAGGCUUAAGCAUUUUGGGUUGGUGGUUUGGGCCAAAUGAGUUAUUAUUGUUAGUGGGCCGGAUUAUUGCAUUUGGUAUCAGAGUCAAUCACCAACCAAAAGUGUAAGAUGAAUCUUGGCUGAGACAGAGUCAAAAUGACAGGCUAAACCAGAGUCAGAAUGAUAAUAUGACAAGCUAAGCUAAGGUCAAAAUGAUAAGGCUAGCGAGACAAAUUUCAUAUUGCAUAGUGAUCUUGGUUUGGACCUGACGAGGACGUCAUGGUCUAAAAGGGGGGAGUCUAUAAUACUCCAAUAAUCUUACAUCCGAUGGAAAAGGAAUUCGGAUUUAGAAUAUAAGAUCACACACCCUAAUAAUAAUAAUUGGCCUAAGAAUUUUGGGCCGGUGGUUUCAGCUCAAGGAAUUAUUAUUGCUACUGGGUCAGGUAGUUGUAGUUGGUUAUUUAUAUUAUCGACAUUGAUAUUGUUUUUCCUACUAUUGUUGAUUAUUUAUUCCAUACUUGUAUCAAAUCAUACUUAUAUCUUUAUACAUACUCAUGAGUUAGUUCGCUAUUUAUUCUUUACUUUGGAUUCUAUGUUUCCAGUUAUUGCAUGACUCGUAGAGUAGGUGAUCAUAGUUGCUCAGGCAUUAUAGAUGUGAUUAGCCUCAAUGGCUCUGUUGCAAUCCCUGUUGGAAGUUUCUCAUCUUAUUUUUGAUUGUCGGCUGUUGGACCAUGAGAACUUGAGUAUUAUGCAUUGUGACCGCCAUGCACCUACUGCACAAGUCAUGUACACCAGCGGAAUAAUCCCCUUCUGUGAUGUUCUUUCAGAUAUGAGAUUAUAUGUUAGUCCUGCUUAGUGACUUACUAGGUCAUAAGCCCAAGGUCCUUGUAACCAAGAGUGACAUGAAUAAGUAAUAUUAAAUUGGAUUUUAUAUUGAUGCAUUUACUUCAGUAGUUACUUAUAUUCCCUUACUUUUAUUCCUAUGUUAUUUUCAUAUGAUUAUAUCUUGCUGAUUCAUGUUUUCCUUAUCUACCUACUUUUAUUCGUUGUCGAUUUUUGUAGACCAGUUGAUAAAACUUGCUGGUCACCUGCGCAUUGUACCCACUGGAAUACAUUUAGUUGUAUCUGGCAUCCUAUUUUUAACAGGUACCUGGGGUAUUGUGAAGUGGGAUGCAUUGUGAGGAUCUCAGUAGAUAGCAACAUCCUAGCUACAUGAAAAUUAGAAUUAGUUGAUAACCCAUUUUCCUUUUAAACUUUCAAGUACUAUCGUCAUUGUUAAAUAUUUUAAGUUUACUUGUAUUGUUGGAUAUUGAACUGUAGAAAAAAAAUUUCAGUAAAAAAAAAAAUUCGAUGGAAAAAAAAUUUACGUCGUUUAGUGUUUGGUUUGUAGGAAGUUUUUUUUUUUUUUCAUGAUAGUUGUUUGGUUGAAAGAAAAAGAAAAAUAGAUAAAAAUUAUUUAAAAUAUUUUUAUUAUAUAUAUUAUUAAUAUAUAAUAAUUACUAUCCUAUAAAUAUUAUUAUUAUUAUUUAUAGAUUAAAUAUAUUUAAAAUUAUAAUAAAUAUAUAUCUAUACUACUUAUAAAAGAGAGAGUUUUAAAUUUUUUUCUUUCCGAAAAUGCCNUAUAUAUAUAUAUAUAUAUAUAUAUAUAUAUAUAUAUAUAUAUAUAUAUAUAUAUAGGGUCCGGCUAUUAUACUAUUAUAAGUACGAUCGCUCUCGUACUCGUAAGUUGUUUUCGAUGAUAGAGAUUCCGAACCGACGAUCCACACCAUUAAACGUUAUUUAAAACAUUUAAAACUUCUAGAAAUCAAAUUUUAUAAUUUUUCGACAUUAUUUACCUUACGAUCAAGAGGUCACAAAUUUGACAAUUUUUAACGGUCGGUAUGGGAUACUUGCUAGUUUAACGGUGUAAAAGAAUCGAAAUUUGUUGAAUUUCUGAUAGAAAAUUCUAUUCACUACCUAGAUAAAGAUCAAUAACUCCGAUCUUGAAUUGAAGGAUCCGAUCAUCCCUUUUUAGGACGUCGUUCGAUUUUGACCAUUCAUUUUAUGCCCGCUUGAUGAACUUUAUUAUGAUUUCGAAAAUUUAUGAAAUUUAUUUUCUAGAAGUUUCAAAUACUCUAGAUCAUAACUUAACGGAGUGGAUCGUUGAUUCGGAAGCUCCAUCAUUGAAAACAACUUAUGAGUACGAGGGCUCCAAUACUCAUAAUAGUAUAAUAGCCAUGACCUAUAUAUAUAUAUAUAUAUAUAUAUAUAUANNNNNNNNNNNNNNNNNNNNNNNNNNNNNNNNNNNNNNNNNNNNNNNNNNNNNNNNNNNNNNNNNNNNNNNNNNNNNNNNNNNNNNNNNNNNNNNNNNNNNNNNNNNNNNNNNNNNNNNNNNNNNNNNNNNNNNNNNNNNNNNNNNNNNNNNNNNNNNNNNNNNNNNNNNNNNNNNNNNNNNNNNNNNNNNNNNNNNNNNNNNNNNNNNNNNNNNNNNNNNNNNNNNNNNNNNNNNNNNNNNNNNNNNNNNNNNNNNNNNNNNNNNNNNNNNNNNNNNNNNNNNNNNNNNNNNNNNNNNNNNNNNNNNNNNNNNNNNNNNNNNNNNNNNNNNNNNNNNNNNNNNNNNNNNNNNNNNNNNNNNNNNNNNNNNNNNNNNNNNNNNNNNNNNNNNNNNNNNNNNNNNNNNNNNNNNNNNNNNNNNNNNNNNNNNNNNNNNNNNNNNNNNNNNNNNNNNNNNNNNNNNNNNNNNNNNNNNNNNNNNNNNNNNNNNNNNNNNNNNNNNNNNNNNNNNNNNNNGCAAAUAAACUCUAUCAAUAAAAUCGGUGAACAGGUAUCAAUGCGAUUUAAUUUAGUACAUCUAAAUUUCUACCUAAUCAUUGUCACAUAUUCUAAUGCAAAAAUAUUAAUUUUAAUGUGCCCAUCCCUUAACCUCAACGAAAGAACGGUCAAUAUAUGACUGUUCUACAAAUUUUGCUUACGCUCCUAAAUUGACUUUGGUACGCCUGAAAGUUUUUUGUACACACAUGAUGACGAGAAGAGACAAAUCAAAAAAUUUUAUAUAUAUUAAUAUAUAUAUAUAUAUAAGAAGAUAAAUAAUAUAACAUAAUUAUUUGAUAAAAAUAGAAUUGUGGAUGAAAAAGAAGAGAGAGAGAAGAAAUGAGAUGUACGGAGAGAGAGAGAGAGAAGAGAGAGAGAGGAGAGAGAGAGAGUGCCCGCUGGGCGUAUUAAUCGAUAGCACUGAAAAUUUGGUAGCUAUCAAGUUAUCCAUUGUUAGAUUUAAACCCUUUGAUUAUUUUUACCCGUUAGAUUAUACUAUCCAACCGAAACCGACUUCAUAUCAACCCUAGGGCGCCACAUCAUGCAAUCCUAACCACCAUUUCUCAAUACAAGGCUAAAAUCUAUAGGCAUCCAAAUCAGCUGUGGCUGGCUAUUGAUAGUAUGUCGCGGCCUUAGUUUAUAUAUAUAUAUAUAUAUAUAUAUAUAUAUAUAUAUAUAUAUAUAUGCUGGGGCUACUAUACUUAUAUGAGUAUAGAGCCCUUUGUUGUAGUGUUCCGGAGUUUUGGAUAGGAUUGGCUACAGUAUUUGUGACUGGUCAACACAUCUGGAGAGUGUCGGACUGAGUCGGAGUCGUUUCUGCACGAAAUGGAUGCAGAAAUGGAUUUGGCACACUCAAAUAAGCAAAACUGGAGUUUUGCCAGUUUCGGGCGCCUAGAACUGGGUUUGGGUCGCCCAGAACUUGAGUGCUGAUCUGAACAGAAAUUGGAAGCCAAUUUGGAUCCUGGUUUUGGGCGCCCAGAAGUGGGUCCGAAAAUUCACUUUGUGAAUAUCGCCUGUGCUGACACAUGUUUGUGGUAGGUGAGUUCUGCCGGACUAGGUUAAGGAUGCAGCACACCAUGGGCGGAGGAACCGAAGAGGAGUAUUUGUGCAGCCUGCAAGUUUCGAACGCCCAGAACAUGGUUCCGGGCGCACGAAAAUGUCUGUUUCUGUAGGGGUAGCAGGUUUGUGUUCUUUAUCCCUGGGGCUUAUCUGACCAUUUCACCUCACUAUAAAUAGGUGGAGUACGACCCCUGUGAACCCUUUUCACCUCUUCUUCACAGAGAAGGCCAAAUUGCAUUCCAACCCCUCUAAUUUCCCAAUUUGCAUAUUUCCACCUUGAGGACUGUAGUUUCAGUAGAAUUCCAGCAGCGACCUUCAGCGUUUUGGCUUGUGUACGACGUAGGAAGCUCCGUUUGCCACGAAAUUUGGUUUGUUGGUUAGAAGACUUCUUGAAGAUUUCGUGGAGCCUAUUUUGACAGCAUUUGAUUGAAGUUAGCAUGGUCAAUUUGGCAUUUUUCUAUGCUGCUAGUGUUUUUGGACUGAAAUUGUGAGUUUGUGGGUUUUCUUGAUGCAAUCUUUGGAGGAAGCCGGAUUUCGGACUUGAGGGUGAUACUCCAUCAUAGUUCACUGGAUUUGGGACCUUUUCUCACCUGAUUUGAAGAUUGAAAGGUGAAGUUAACACUGAGAUUGAGGCUAAUUUAAGCUUAAAUGCUGAAUUUUGAAUUAUUGAUGGAGUUUUGGUGAUUUUUGUGUGUAGACCCAUAGAGAGCUUGUUGCUGGAUUGUUGCUGGUCUUGGCAGGGUUUUUCGGCGACCCCUCGCUGCUGUGGAUUAGCGCUAGAGGUGAGUUAAUGAUGCUUACCGGAUUUUACGGGUUUCCUCCUAAGCCUAAUUAUUGUCGACAUUUAUCUUGGUCUUGUUUAUCCUGUUUGUUAGCUCGAAUUCAUCGAUUUGCAUAGAUUUCUUGAAAUCUGAAUUUGGGGCAAUGUUAGUAUUUUAAAUAAAUUAUACAUGUUGAAUUUGGAAUUGACUUAAGAGAAAACUAGCGUUUCUACACCGUCAUAUUUAAAAUUACCAGAUUUAGCUCUAGGAGCCAUAAUUUGUUUGUAUCGCCAUAGUUUGUGGGCGGUGGAUACUCUGAUUAGUGUAGAAUAUAUUUACGCUCGUGCUGAGAUGCCGAGCUUAUUCUUACAGCAGUGUUUAGGCUGUUCCGAACUGUCGAGUGCCGUUGAGGUUGACGGUGGAUCCAGAUUGCUAUUUUGUAUCAGAUUAUGCCGAGGGCACGUGAGUUUGGUUAUUAGACCCUGUUUACUUUGACUAUAGCAUGUGAGAGCCUGAUUGAGCUCGACAGAGACACGCUUGCAUACUCGAUUGGAUAGUGCCCACGAGUGCCACUCCGGAGUCGGGCUUAGUGCUUUUGCGUUGAUGUCGGUUUGUUCUGGUUGGACUUGCUCUCCACUGACGACCUAGCGUGGUGGCAAUUAGUGUAGCUUCGACAGGCGGGACGGAUGUAUUCACAGUCCCUAGUGAGAUUGGGUCAGAGCUUGCAUUGUUCUACAGAUAGUUAGCGUUGGAUCAUGAUAGUAUAGUGGCAUAUAGCUGUAGAUUGUUUUUAGUUCCUUUACUAUCAUUGAGCAUACAUUCUGUAGACUUAGUGAGUGAGCCGUUGAGGUCGGUUGCGGUACCCACUGAGGACUACUCCUUUUUGAAGUAGUUCUCACGCCAAGUUGUGGAUCUUUUGUAGAGUCUUCUUCUUCGGCUGCUGCUGUUGCGGAGACCGAUCGUGGAAAGGGAGUUGCGAGUUAGAUCCCUUCCAGUUUUGCUGCUAAGCUAGAGACACACCAGCUACAGGUAGUUGUAGUUUUUGGUUCUUAUACAUACUGAUAUUUGUAUCUCACUGGAGCGAGUGUUUUUGUGUACCAGGAUAUUCUGUAUAUAUAGUGAACCUUUGUUAUUAUAUAUGUUCUUUUUUUUUAGCAGCUCUAUACUACUGGUUGUAGUGUUGUAUGAUUACAGGUACAGGUACAGCUAUCGCUUCGUAUACAAGGAAAACUCCUAUGUAUAAGCCCGAGGAAACGAGUAAUCUGGGGCGUGACAUUUGUACUAAUAAGUUUUCAGCCGUUCAGAUGAAAAAAUAUGCAGUUAGGAUGAAAGUGGUUACCGUUAGGUUGAUAGUGGGCCCCUAGGGUUGAGUGGGUGGUUGGUUGAAUAGUAUAAUUUAGCGGGUGAAAAUAAUUAAAAAGUAGAUCUAACGGCCAAAAACUUAUGAGUACAAGAGGCUCUAUACUCAUAAGAGUAUAAUAGCCGGACUUUAUAUAUAUAUAUAUAUAUAUAUAUAUAUAUUAUAAUUAUAUUAUAAUAUAAUAUAUAUAGUAGGAGCCUUAGAUACUUGUAAAGGUAUCAAGCCAAGUGAUACUGUGUGUUUUUAGCCCAUUGAGGAGAGGAUGUGAGGUGAGAUGAUGUGGUUAGUGGUACGGUAGCGUGGUAGGUAGGAUGAAUAGUGUUUUAAUCCAAGGGUAUUAAUAAUUACAAAAAGUAGAUCCAAUGGCCCUAAAAAUACACAAGUAGGUGGGCGUUGGUGAUACUUGCUAAAAGUAUUCGUACCCAUACUCUAUAUAUAUAUAUAUAUAUAUUAUAUAUAUAUAUAUAUAUUAUAGAGAAGAGAGAUGAGAGAUGGAGAUGAGGAGAUGAGCUGUUAGGCUGGUUAUACUAUCGGUAACACGGAGGCCUCCGUGCUAUCCCAGUUUGUUUUCAAUGAUGCGCCUUUCAAAUCGUACUGGAUCGGCUCCGGUUACAUGUUGAUCUACACUAUUAAAAGUAUUUGGAAACUAAUUUCAUAAAUUUGGUUCGACAUCACUUUUAGCUACUGUGAUCAAAAGGUUACCAAAUAACAAGUUUUAAUGGUAGAUAUUGAUGGUUUUUAAGUUUUCAACGUAUGUAGAAGUAUCCAAUUAGAUAAAAAUUUGAAUAAGAAAAUUCUACAUUAACAUCAAUAGCCAAGGACCAAUACUUCCGAUUCUGAUUUUUGAUAUCUUUAAUCACUUUUUUUAUGAGGAUUCAUUUUUAGCCUUUUAGAUCACUCGGUUUGAUAGGAAUAUAUAUGCGAAAAACUAUGAAUUUUAGUUUCCAAAUAAACUUUUUUUGUAACGGAGCUUGGAUCGUCAAUUUAGAAGCCGAUCAUUAAAAACAACUUGUAACUUCGUUACUACGAUAGUAUACCAGCCUAGCUCCUAUACAAUCAUAUUUCUUAUGGUGGUAUCCUCAAUCUCAUAUCAGUCAUUUUGUAGAAGCGUUAUUAUUUAUAUAUUCAUUAGCACCUGGCCUCUAUUGUUGCACCAUUUGUUUUCGAAGAUGGAGCCUCCAAAUCGACGAUCGGCACCGUUGAACAUGAUAUAUACCACUUGAAGUGUUUAGAAAUCAAAUUUCAUACAUUUUCGAUAUUAUUCUUUUAUCCAUCGAGUGGACACAAAAAUGAACGGCUGAAAUAAAUAUUCUUUAAAAAAUGAUGAUAGGAGUCUUGUAAUCAAGAUCAAGAGUAUAGAUCUUGUUUUAAAUAGUUUAAAAAAUUUUCUAACAAAAAUUCAAUUGAUUUGGAUAUCUUUACACCGUUAAACGAGAAAACGCCUCAUAUCAACCAUUAAAAUUACAAAUUUUGAAACCCUUUGAUCAUUAGGCAAAUAAUGUCGAAAAGAUUUGAAAUUUGAUUUCUAAAGAUUUCAAGUGGUAUAAAUCAAGUUCAACGGUGCCGAUCGUCGAUUUGGAGGCUUCGUCAUCGAAAACAAAUGGAUGGCAACAGAGCUCGUUUGCUAUCGAUAGUAUUCUAGCUCAACUAUAUAUAUAUAUAUAUAUAAUGAGAGAGAAGUCCAUGGUGGACCUGUCUCUCAUGCAGUCCACGAGGCCGAAAUGGCCUCGUGAACCGCUUGAAAACAAUGCUCGUGAGAACGUGAGCCGCAAUUUUUACUCGGUGCCUUUUUAAGCGGAAAAAGAAAGAGGGUAUUUUUAUACAAAUAUGUAAAACUACUUUUCACGAAAAAUUUUUUUACGUCGAACCGAACGAGCGCAAACUAUUUUUCAGCCGAAAAUUUUUUGCCCACCCUCUUUUACAUCAAAUCAAACACAUUCUAAGGAAAAUAUUUCAGCCCUUACUAUGAAUUUAAUGAGAAACUCAUCUAAAGGAUAAAUUUAAGUUCAAAUUGUAAAACUAGCAAAGAAUGAAUUGCAGUGUAACUCUCUUAAAAAAUUGUUUUCUAGACUAACAUCUCACUUCGUCAACAUAAGAUAGGGCUUCAUAAUCUUCUGAAUAAUAAAGAAAGCAUUUCAACCCUUGUUAUGACUUUAAUUAAGAAACUGAUCCCAGGAGAAAAUUUAAGAUAAUAUGUUUGCAGGUUUCUAAUAGUUGCACCAAUAUAUAAAAACUGGCUAUAUCCUAAGUAAGAAAAUAUAACGAAACCUUUCAAGCCAUGUAUCUGAUAACCCUCUCUCACACAUACGCACACACACAAAAAACCGAAGUACUGAAAGUCGCAUCAACUUGACAGAGAAAGAUUUACAGAAGGGAACGACCUCGUGACCCAGAGAGCCAAUAUCGAUAAAUGUAGAGCUAACCGUCAACAGAUUUCGUUUAGGCCGAACCAUGUGUGAAGAUCCAUCUACCCCAACAACAUUUUUGCAUAAUAUUGGAAGAGGCUGUGUAUUGUAUAGAUGAGCUUCCCAACCAGAAGAUAACAGGUUAUUACUCAAAAUAAAGAAAUACGUUUUCUUUUUCUUACUGCAAUAAGAAAAAAAGCUGUAACAUGUCAAGUGCCCCAGAUUCACAGCUGCCAAUUUCAUAAGGUUUUACAAGCUCUCACUUUCAUUUAUCCUAUCCAAAAAUGCUUAGCAAGCAACAUCAAAACUAUCCAAAUGCAGCAAAUCAUGAAAAACAUAUUAUUCUGUAGGCAUAAAUAGAUAUUUAAACAUCUAGCAAGAAGUGAAGGACAAAAAAGUAGAAGAUUUACUGACGAACAUUGCAAAUAUUCGUUUCUCAGAACAAAGCAGCUACAAUCUUCAGGUUUUGUCUCUAAUCAUAUCAAGCUUCAUCACAUGCCUCAGUAUCGGCACCAUCCAUAUUCUCUUCAAAAGAAUCAUCAAACUCGUAAUCCUCCUCAUCAUCUUUCAUGUUUCGUCCGAAAACAAAUGGCUUAGUUCCCAUCGUCGUGAAGGGCAUUAGCCCGAAAGCUCGUGCAGUUUUGAUCUCCCUUGCAACCUUCCGCUGAGCUUUGGCACUUAUGCGGGUCUGGGCAGAGUGAGAAAGAUGAUAAUUUUGAAGAAUCAGCACAAACAUGAGACAAGAUAUAAGAUGAUAUGUACAUUAUGAAAUGAAAAAAAAUAAAAAAUAAAAAAACUACAAAAUUAGGUUAUAAUAUUGCACAAGGAAAUAAUCUCAAUGAUGUCUGAAGUCUUCACACUUCCCAGAUUAAUAAUGAGAAAUUGGAAAACUGAUCAAGUAAUCAUGUUAAUAUAUAUGUAUCAUUUGAAACAUGGAAAAACCAAGAAAAGAAGACAAUCAAUUUUACCAGGAUAUCUCUUUCCCAAGGAUCAAGUGGUCUGAAAGUUGAUAAUCUGAUCGCUGGAAAAAGGGACUUUGUUUGAUCAGCCUAAAUCUGUAAACUUUCUAGUUUAUAAAUUGUUUAAUUCAAGGAUUUAAGUGCCGUGGCACGGGAUUGUGCCAGAAAUUUGCCGGCACGGUGCGUAUCGAGCCAUGCCGAUGCGUCCCGGUCAAAAAAAAUUUUGUGCGCCGACACAUAAUAGCAUGAAAUAUUUAUUUUCUUUAGCAAUAAAAUAUUCUAACUAUUUAUUAUGUCUUUUGAUCACAUCUUUUGAACUUUAUUGAGGAAAUUACUUGCUAAUUUAAAGAAUAGAGGGUUUUGAGCAGUGACAUCGCCACGGGACUUGUAUCGUGCCGGUAUCUUGUUGGCACGGUACGGCACGGUACGGCACGGUGGAUACAGCCCAUGCCGACACGGUACGGCACGGUGGAUACAGCCCAUGCCGACAGGCACUUAAAACCAAGACUUUAAUUAUCCAAAUAAAAGUUAGUAGCUCUAGCUCUCAGCUAUAAACCAAUACUAUGUUGUAGCAUUCCUCACUGAUGCUAUUCAUUUCCUGUCGAUGAAAUGGUCCAGUCUAAAACAGUCAAGAACGAUGAUUUUUAUCUAUAGCAAGUUCAAAGUAGUGUUGAUUAACUAUCUUGAUUUCAAUUAGGAAAUAUUUGGAAUCAACACCAUCAACAAUAGCCCAAAGUAUGGAAGUACUAUAAAUCUCUAAAGCGUAUCAAGAGUAACUUAACAACUGUGUCUUAGCUACAUAAAUAGUCAUCCAGUCUAAAAAUGUUCACAUUUUUGAAAUAUCAAGAUGUCAAGAUGGAUGAGAGAAGAAAGACAAACAGACAUUGGUUAACCAUUUCUACUCUCUAAUUAGGCAUUCUUUGCAACAAGAUCGAAUUGUAUACAAUGACAGCUACAUUUCAAUAAAUGACUACAAAACCAACCAAUUGACAAAGUUGACACACUGAAACUUCUAAUAUGAAAUGGCUACAAAACCGAACAAUCACUGAAAGCUCAACCUUCCUCUAAAUUAUAGCUGGAACUUCAGAAAAAUAUUUAGAGGAAACACGCAAGCUGUAAUCUAUAUUACAGAAUGAACUAUUGAAUGCAACCUUUUAAGAGUAAAUUUAAGUCAAAUACAACAAGCAUCAUAUUUACCACCUAUCCUACGUUCCAUAACCGGUCUUUUUAAGAAUCUGAAUAUAUACUGAAGUUGCAUCAUCAUUCAUUACUUGACAGUUAUUCAGUUCUAUAUAGUUGCUACUAACAUUAUUUUCAGCUACUAGAGUACCUACACAAGUGAAUCAUCAGUAAUCUAUUUACCUGACUCCUUUUGAUGAUAAUCCCUGCUUCUGUAAGGAAGUUGGAAAGGAAUCUAACGUUCUGCAUUAAAUGAUUUGAAAUGUUAGGAUUGCUUUCUACAUUAGUAAGGAUGAGAGGAAGUUGCAAAAACAACUAUACAAGAGGUUAAGAGAACUGCCAUAAACAAAACACAUUCAAUUCUACAGUCUGUGUAUAAUGAAAGAAUUUCCAUAUAUCAUCAUCAUAAGCAAAAUCGAUUGUUGAUAUCAAAUUCAAGAUAACAAGAUGACAUAAGUCUUUCGAAUGUCAUUUUGGCAUUUUACUGCUAAUGAAUCAAUUCCCAAAUAAUAAAGAUUCCUCGACAUAACAAAUUGAAACAGCCGAGGCAAGGAUCCAAAAUGUCUCAAGCAUUCAGAACCAUGCAGAUUGCACUUAACAGAAGAAACUUCGACUUUUAUGACAUUCAUAACUGAAUUACAUGCUUUAUACACUCUUGAAAGAAGAUAUAAUGAUACUAAACACUUUAAGAAAAAAAAAGCUAAUUCCAACAUCUUAAGAAAACCAAUUUCAAGAGAAAUAGUUCAAACUUCAGAACUCUUAAAACUCACCCUGAAAUCAGCUUUCCUUAAGACUUCUUCCGUAGUUGUCUCAAAGCCAGGUGGUCUAUACGUUUUCUGUACUGCAGGUUUUGUAAGAUCGAGAUCCUACAUGAAGUUAUAGAAGCAAUGUUAGUGAAGAACAUUCACUGAGAAACUAUUAAAAAAAAAGGAGAAUUAGGUUAUUCUGUUAUUUAGAUAAUGUGGUGUUCAAAUGUAAUAUAUCUGAUAAAGUGACCAGAAAGCGAGUUUGAGAAAUCUGAACAAUUAACAACAUUAUACUGGUAUAUUAAGAAUUAAUAAAUAACAUGAUAAAGAAAUAUGCAUACUCAUAGCUCAAGUAGUACAAACUAUUUUAAUCUAUCAUACAGUUUGAGAUGCAAGAUGUAUGAAUUUAGAACCUUUAGUAUGACUAGUAUCAUUGUAAUAUAUUUUGAUAAAUAAAUCAAUAGAUGGAAUUGGUUCUUAACAAGGUUUAAAGUGCCAUGGCACGGGGGCAUGCCGCCAAGGUUUUAAGUGCCCGUCGGCACGGGUCGUAUCCACCGUGAUGUACCGUGCCAACAAGAUACCGGCACGAUACAGACACCGUACUGAUGGCACAGCUCAAAACCCUAUAUUCUUUAAAUUAGUAAGUAAUUUCCUCAAUAAAGUUCAAAAGAUGUGAUAAAAAGACAAAAAAAAUAAUUAGAAUAUUUUGUUGCUAAAGAAAAUAAAUAUUUCGUGCUAUUAUGUGUCGGCACACAAGAAUUAUUUUGACCGGCACCCAUUGGCACGGCUCGGCACGCACCGUGCCAGCAAGUUUACGGCACGACCCCGUGCCACGACACUUAAAUCCUUGCAUGCUGCUGUUUGCCUUGCACGGUACAGCGCCGGCACUCUUCUGUGCCGACACAUGGUACGCUUGCAUGCCGAUAAAUACACAUGAUCUCCUACUGACAGGCUUUUGCACAGACUUAUUUCAGCUUUUUUUGUCCCAAUAAGCUUUUAUAAUGUUAUUUUGAAAGAUUUAAUCAAAUAAUUAUGAAUAUUUGCUAUGUAUAGCUUACUACACUUAUCAAUUAACAUACUUGUAACUUUGUAAGCUUUUUUGUAUGUAAAGUACAAUUAUACCUAAUGCAGAAUAGAAAUUUUUACAAAUUAGAAUUUUUAAAAUGUAAAGACAUCUUUUUUUCUUUUGACCAUAUUAUAGUCUUUCUUUUAUAAAAUACAAAAAAAUAAUUUUAAAAAAUAUUUGAAAAAAUAAUUUUAAAAAAUAUUUGAAAAAAUUAUUUUUUUAAUGAAUUUUUCAGAAAAUUAGUAGAUUUAUCAAAAAAAUUAAGCAAUAAAUUAUAUAACAAAUAAAUUAAAUAAAUUUAAGUAUCAAUUGAUUUAAUUUAGUUUUUAAUUUUAUCUGUAUUUUCAAUGUUCUAGCGCACAAAUAAAAUUUUAUGUUUGAUGUGGCUCAAAAUUUGUUUAUUGAGUUCGAUAUAUUCCCUUAAUUCGCCAAAAAUUUCACGGUGCAACAAAUUUUGAUAAAUUAAUUUGUAAACGAAAAAUAGAUGUAUGUGGUGGAAGCGGAGGGCUCGGACAAAUCUUUUGUCCGUAUAUUGAUAAACAAAAAAAUAAUAAUUUUUUUGACUUAUCUAAUAAGUAAAUUUUCGAUUUGCAAUGUCUUUGGAAGGGGUGUGGGUACCUAGAAUGCUUUAGAUGCCCCAAAGAACAAAACAAAACAAAAAGAAGAAAGCAAAAAAAAAAAAAAGAGAGUGUCGGCACGGCACUGUGCCGUGGCACACUGCGCCAUGCAGCUCUGUCUUGUGCGGCACGGCGCUACAUGCCGCGACACGAAGGGGGGUCUGAGACCCCCCCGUACCGUGCCACCUUCUUGGUGGCACGAUACGUGCCACGCCGUGUACCGCACAGGGCGGUACUUUAAACCUUGCCAAGAAGGAUCUCCACACAGCUUUGCUAAAUGGACUAAUUGAUAGUGUGUCACUCCCUCCACCUCCUCAUUACAUGUCACACCUAUUCGAUUCCCACUCCAACCUCUCUUUGAAAGAUAAUGAAUCAUUAAAAUUCUAUCAUUCAUAGCUAGCCAGGAGAAAAUUUUUAUUUAAGACGGCAUAUCCCCAUUCUCCACAAGUCAUUCACAUAGCUACAUACACCACCUCCAUCUCCAAUGAACUUGUUGCAAUCACUAACCAGAUGCUAAUUUUUCUUGCUAUAAAAUCUCCAGAUCCUCCUGUCCUCUUCUCUCAUUAGCUUUACUUCUUUUAGAAACUCUAGCAAUUGAUCAAACUCCACAUUGUCCUAUGCUGUAUCCUAGUUUGAAAUUUCCACAUUGACUCUCCUCCCUGUACUUCUAUGUACUCAGCUAUUGUGGCAUCCUUUUCCAAUACAACUUCAUAUAUGUGAGGGAAUCUUGUUGCCAAUGUAGCUUCACUACACCACAUGUCAUUCCAAAAUUGUAUACGUCUCCCAUUCCCCACUUCAAAAGAAGAUCCAGCUCUGAUUAGUUCUACUCGUUUGGUUACACCAUUCCAAAACAUGGAACAGCUUCUUGAGGUCUGAAAAUUACUGAGCCUCUGAAUGCUACUUUGAUAUGAAUUUAUCAUCACUAAUUGCUGCCUCAAUUCCCUUUUCCAGUCAACGUCUUUCACAACAAGUUACAUAAUAUUGCCUGGUUAAAAUUUUUUAUCUCAAAAAUUCCUAAACUACCAUUAAUUUUUUCGCUUACAAACUCUGCCAGUUUGUUAGUAAAAUACCCUCCUUAUUGACGCAGUUCUUCCACAGAAACUUUCUCCUCACUUUGUCUAUUCAGUCAUCUACUACCUAUUGUGGUGAGUGCUAGAAAGAGAUGUGAUAUAAUAGAAGCGCAGACAGUACUGAAUUUUAUUGAGUUAAUCUUCCACCCACUAAUAGCAACUGCUUUUCCACCCAGCAAGCCUUUUCUCCAUCUUUGUAAUUACAGGCAUCCAAUCACUCUUUUUUAGCUUCUUUCACACUAUAAUGAAUAUUACUUUAUUCAAAUUUUAUUUUCAGCCGUGAGUAACCAUCAAACAUAAGCAAUACCAAUUUUAGAUUCAUAGCAUUUCUUUCAUUGCUUUCCUGAAUAUCAUAGUCUCAUCUGCGUAUUUCAAAUUGCUUAGAUUAUAACAUUCAUCUAAAUUGACGCCUUGAAAUUAGUUCAACUCCAUACCUUCAACUAGGACGAUUCUCAAAACUAUCCACUGCAAUGUAAAACAAUAAAGGUGCAAUCCCCUUGCUUAAGCCUUCUCCUACAUUUUAUGAUGUACCCUUCAUCCCCCUUACCAAUGACUGUUUUAGCAGUUCUCAGUUGGCAUGCAACCCAACCAACCCAUCUUGAACUAAAGAUGCUGCCUCUUAGCACAUCCAACAGAAAGAAGCCAUCAAAAUCGUGUUUCCAUCUGGAAGCAACAAAAACAAGGGAAAAGGCCAAUCAACUUGUAAUAAGGAAACCUCGUGGCCUGCUGAUUCUACCCAUGUGCAAUAAAGUAAUAGGAAAAGGCCCACAAAAUCUCUCACUUAUAAUAUUCACCGAGCGGGUCACCUCUCUUCCUUAGGCACAGGGAAACAAUCUCGAUCUUCCCAUCUUUCUCCUUACUUCAUCAUCAAUGCCUCACCAUGCUCCCUAAGGAACACAGGCCGUCAACAACACUAAAUGUCCAAAUUGCUCUCUAUUUUAAGUGGACUCUCAACUUCUUUUUUUUCUUUUUUUAGUACAUAACGAUGGUAAUUUUCCUCCAAAAGAGGCCACCAAGUUGCUUAGCUUGUGUCAACGUGGUGCAUUCCAUUAAAAUUAACGACCUUCUAAUGGCUGGGACCUAAAGGGACCUACAUGAAGAAAGUUAAGAGACCGAAGUUCGCGACCAAAAAAAAAAAAGAAUUAGGGACCCUUUUGGUCCCCGACUUUUUCCUGAAUUUCCAAUUGGGUCUCUAUCCUUUUAUUUGUCAAUUGAAUCCCCAACCUUCAUAAUUCAUUUCAAUUGGGUUCCUACUAUCCAUAACAGUUUUACAAAUUUGACAUGUAGUUGCAUAUGAUUGGUCAAAUUUGAAAAAAAAAAAAAAAAAGACACUUUCUCUUCUCACAAGACUCUUUGACCGGUCAAAGUUUUUCUUCUUCUUUCCAUCCCUUCUUCCUCUUUUUCUUCUUUUUCUUCUUUCUUCUCUUCGUUUUCUUUCAUUUUACUCCUCUUUCUUCUUCUUCUCUUCAACCCACGAAGAACAACAGAAGAGUUAGAAUAGCAGACUAAACGCUUAGAACAAAAGGUGGAUGUCAAGCUCUGAAUAAAUUGAAGAGUCAAUAGAGUGCCCACUUCAGGAGCCAAAAGAAAAACAAAAGAUAGUCAAGUGGACCAGAUCAGAUCAUCCUUCUAUCAAUUUAUCAACCACACGUCAAAACAAGUGUAUACAACACAUUUUCUGAGUACACUAAGGCCAAAUUAUAAAUGUCAAACAAUAGUACAAUAUUUUGAAGGAUAAAGAUCAUUUAAUUCCUGGAGGACAGCAACUAGUCUAAAUUUUAAAGAGGCACACUAUUAAUUGGAAUGAAGUGUGCUAACACCAAUGCGCACUUUAGACGUCCCAUUAUCAUACAAAAAAUGUUGUUUUGGGCUAUAGAAAGAACUUACAUUAAAUUUCCCUAAUUCUUGUGCAAAGAUGAGCCAUUAAGUUUCCUUCUUCGCCUGACUAGCUCUAAGAAGUGUUUUGUAUGACAUUAAUCUAGUAUAUAAAUUUUAUUUUAUCAUACUGUCCCGUGGCGUACGUACCGUGCCCCCAAAAAGGGGAAUGAUACAGGGAGGGGGUCUUAGACCCCCCCCGCCUUGCCGCGACACACCCUUGCAUAUCAUGCGAGACAGUGUAAUAUGCGGGUGGGUGCCGCGGCACUGCGCCGUGACGAGACUAUUUUUUUCUUUUUUUUUUACUUUUUUAUUUUCUUUUUUUUUUUUUUUUUUUUUUUUUUUUUUGUUCUUUGAGGUACCUGAAACAUCCUGGGUACCCACACCCCCUAAGACAAUGCAAAUCGAAAAUCUACUUAUUAGAUAAGUCAAAAAAUAUAAUAAUUUAAAUUUUUUAUUUUUUUAAUGUACAGACAAAUUUUUAAUUUACAUAUCUAAUCCAUACCAUGGGCGGCGAAGCCCCUCACAUGGCUCGAGCCCUCCUCUUCCACGACAAACAUCCAUUUUUUUCACAAAUUAUUUUAUCAAAUUUGACGCACCACGAAACUUUAAGGAAACAAAAUCAAACUCAAACAAAUUUUGAGGCACAUCAAACAUAAAAUUUUAUUUUUAUGUUAGAAGAUUGAAAAUACUGAUAAAACUAAAAGCUAAAUUAAAUCAAUUAAUACUUUAUUUAAUUUAUUUGUUAUAUAAUUUAUUUCUUAAUUUUUUUGAUAGAUCUAAUAAUAUUUUGAAAAAAUUAAUUAAAAAAUAAUUUUUUCAAAAACUUUUUAAAAUAUUUUUUCAGAUAAUUUUUAAAACUAUUUUAAAAAUUAUUAUUUUAUAUUUUAUAAAAGAAAGACUAUAAUAUGGUCAAAAGAAAGAAAGAAAGAUGCCUUCGCAUUUUAAAAAUUUUAACUUGCAAAAAUUUCUAUUAUGCAUCAGGUAUAGUUGUACCUUUCAUACAAAAAAGCUUACAAGUAUAUUAAUUGAUGAAUAUAGUAAGCUAUACAUAGUAAAUAUUCAUAAUUAAAGAUGUCUAAAAUAUCCGAUAUCCCAUACCCGAUCCGGACCCUACCCGGACCCGAAACGGACCCGAUAAAAAAUGAAUAGUAUACGAAUAAAAAAAAUUACCCAUUAAAAUUUCAGGUAUGGGUCUGGAUAUUUUAUACCCAUACCCGAUUUGGACCCGACCCGAACCUAACUUUUAAAUGGGUAGUGUAAGGUACUGGACUUCUAAAACUAUGAAGUUACGGUGUACAUUUGGUUGGAAGACCAUUUGAAUGGUUUCGGUGAGGUCCCGGUGAGGUCCGGAAGCAAUCGGGCGUUUUCGGUACGCGUAGGCGCUAAAACGGAGCCGAAAGGCCAUGUUGGGCCGUGAGCCAAAUCCAGCAUUAGCGGGGAUGAAAAGAUGAUGAAAAUACGCUCGAAAACAUGUUUGGAGAGUCUCGGUUCGAUUUGAAAAGAAUCGGAGGUCAAACGAGCGAAAACGAGCGAAAACGGAGAAGAAACGGUGAAAAAGCUGAAAAUUUGGCUAAGUCCUUAAAGGCUGGAAUUCUGGACCUACGGGGACCGGUCCCCCAAGUCCAGGGACCGGUCCCCUAUACAAAAAAUGGCCCCCGCAGGGGCAAUGUAAUAAAAUGUAAGUUUAGGGGCCUAUUUGCACUUUGGGCAUUAUGAGAGUGUAUAGAGAGGGUUCUUUCCCUCUUUCUCUCAUUUCCCUCACCCCAACACCACCUCUCUCUCUCUCUAAACGUAAAGAAGAAAGGAGAAGAGAAGAAGAAAGGGAAGAAGAAGAAGAAGGAGUUGGAGGAGAAGAAGUGGAUCAUCAUCACCAACAUCAUCUUCUUCUUCCUCUCACCAUUAGAGCAAGCUUAGCAAGGUAAGCUUCAAACCCUACAAUGGUAGAUCUCUAGGGUUUGAUCCUAAUGCUCUAGAAAUGGUUUGAUUAGUGUUCUAGCAAGCUUAAUAGAUGUUUAAUGCUUGAAUCUAGAGUUCGAAUGGUGGAUUUUGCCGUAGUCGCAAACUAAGGCUCAAAUAUGGGAUUUUUGUAAAUAGAUGGGUUUGAUCUCAUUUAACCCUCUGUAAACCUAAUUGGGGGUAUAACGAACGCGUUGGUGCGCUCGGUUCGACGAUACGACGAGUGUACGCGAAGUUAUUGACGAAACGGUCUGUUUUGGUACAGAUAGCCGCAGCACGCGGAAUAAGCCUCCAAAAAUCAUGAGAACGGAUCGGGAGCAUCGUGGUGUCGUGGAAUAAACUCCAGAAUAGACGGAUCGCGGAUUGGUGGCCGUUCGGGUGGUCGCGCAAGAGUUCGAGCCGAACCGGGUCACGGGUGCCGCGGGAGGCCGAUUGCAAGUGUCGACGAGCAAUCGGAACGCGAGUUAAGGUGGGUUGUGUUUACCGAAGCGACUAGGUCGCCCUUUAUGUCUAAGAUGAUUAAGAAUCCACGUUGAUGCAUAUGAAUGUAAAUGAGGCAUAUAGAUGAUGCAUAUAAAUGUAAAUAAUGCAUGUUAAUAAUAUGAUGCAAAUGCUAAGUAGAUCCAUGUAAAAUGAUAUGAUAUAGAAUACAUGCUAGUGAUAAUGCAAGUGAUAUGUAUGUGUGCAUUGGAAUGUAUGCUAGGUGCAUGUAACAUCAUGUGAGCAUGUUAGAUAAGAUGCAUGUGCAUAUGGACUCGAUAUGACAAAUAGGAUAUCAAGUAGAUCGAGUGGCAUUAACCUAGUGUUAAUAAACAUAGGUCGAACAUAGAUGACAUUGAACCUAGUGUUGUUGAACCUAGGAUAAAUAACGAGUGGCAUCUAACCUAGUGUUAAAGAACAUAGGUUGAGUAUGAACCUAGAGUCGGGAUCUAGGUGUGUGGCAUCUAACCUAGUGUUAAAGAACAUAGGUUGAGAACUGAACCUAGAGUUAAGGUAAACCUAGGUUGUGAAAUUGAGGCAUUAGACCUAGAGUCAGUUGGACCUAGGGUGGAAAGUGCAUUGGACCUAGAUAGGUCAAUAGUAUAGGGUUGGAUAUGGACCCUUGACUUGUGAAGUCGAUUCCGGAAUCCCAGUACUUGUGAACUCAAUAGUUCUUGGACCGCGGGUGUAUGCGGCGAUGUUCCUCUCCCACCGGAAAGAACUUUGAGGAUUAUGACUAAGCAAGAACAAAGAGCGCUAGGGUGUACGGCAUGUUCCUCUCCCUAUCGGGGAUCUUGGCUAUGGGUGUACGCGGCUAUGUUUCCUCUCCCACUAGCGGAUCCCUGACCACGGUGCACGGACCUUCGGGCGGACCGUUGGGCGAUGUGGUUCUUGGCUUGCAGGCUGAGGUGCAUGCGACAGGAUCCUUCACCUCGAGCCGGGCAGAGCGCGGAUUAUCCGCUGUUGAUUGACUCGAGGCCGAGUCGGGUGGCUAGCUGGAAUAAGGUAGAUAGAACCUUGAGGGCUAGUGGUAAAUGUGAUAACCUAAGGUAGUGGAAACCUUAGAGUUGGAUGACAUGAGCUAAGAUUAGCGAGAUUGAUUGUAGAAUCAAUAAUUCUACUAGUUGUUGCAUAUAUUCCUGUUGCAUAUAGCAUGACAUCAUUGCAGUUGUGAGGCAAAGCAAGGUAAAGUUAGUUGCAUGUUUAUGAUAUACAUAUCUAUCUGUUUAUUGGACUAACUUGUAUUUGCCUCCCUUGGACCUGUUGGUCGAGCUCCUCCCUUGGGUGGCCGUACCCACUGGGAACCAUGGAGUUGGUUCUCACCCCACGUUGUUUUGGGGUUUUACAGGUUCGCACGUGAGCGGCGCGGCGGCGCGAGGCAAGGGCGUAGCUCCAUAGAUAGCGCCCUACCCCCAGAGACCAGAGCUAGCAGUACCCCGUCGACGUAGCUUAGGGGUAUAGAAAAUGAAAGCAAGCAAAUGUAUCAAAUUGUAAUCAAUAAAUGUUGUAAUAACUUAAUUGUAUUGGAAGUUGAAUGUAAUGGAAUCGUGAUGUAAAAUGAAUGGAUGUAAUAUCAUAGAAUGUGUUUAUGUUGAUUGAUACCUUCCUGAUGCAAUUCUGUUUGCUGAGUACUGUUCCUGGUUGGAACCUUUGUAUUGUACUUGUUGCGACGCCUAGGACGUACAGGGGAAACUCUGUCCGUUCGGCGGUCUGUCGGCGUGCCCGAACCGGACCAAAUUGGGAGUGAUCUCGGGGCGUGACAGGUAGGGUCCAGAAUAGUUUUCAAAUCCGGACCCGAACCCGAACCCAAUGAAAUAUCCGAUAGUAAAUAAAAAUAAAAAUAAACUUUUGAAGUUGAAGGAUCAAUUUUAAUAUGACUUAUAGAUGAUGAGUCACUAUGUAUUUUCAUUCUAAUGAAACCCUAGCCGUCUCUUUUACUCAUUAUUUUUUUCUAAUUUUUUUACUCUUUGUUUUCUACCCUUUUUUUUCAUUUCAUUUCCGCCAACAAUAUUUCAUUGUCAACAAUAUAGUUUGUUUAUUGACUAUUUAAUAAAGUUUAUAAAAAAAUAUAUUUAUACGGAUAUCCGUACCCGAUUUAGACCCGAUCCAUAUCCGGUUUUGAACGGGUAGUAUACGGGUAGUCACUACCCAGACCCGUUCAAAUAGACCCGAUAGGUAUAUUAGUAACUUUAGUACCCGGACCCGGACCCGGACCCGGACCCGGACCGGACUCGAAGUUAAAUGGGUAGGGUAUAUAUAUAUUUUUUGUUACCAUUUCUUUUUAGGGUAUGGGUACAAUAUAUUAAUUACCCAGACCCGACCCGAUCCACGGACAUCUUUAUUUAUAAUUAUUUAAUUAAAUCUUUCAAUAACAUUAUAAGAGCUUAUUGGAACCAAAAAAUCAAAAAUAAAUUCAUGCCGAAGCAUGCCAGUGGGAGAUCAUGCGAAUCCAUCGGUACGCAAGCGUACUAUGUGUCGGCACGAAAGCAUGCCGGUGCAUACUGUGCUAGGCAAACAACGGCACGGCCCCGUGCCACGGCACUUUAAACCUUGUUUUCUCUCUUCCAAAAAAAAAAAAAAAAAAAAAAANAGAAAAAAAAGACACAGUGUGAUUUGUCAAUAGUUGCAGGGCAGCAUGGAUAUGGUGGAAAUGCUUAAUUGAGUGAUUUACAAAAGGUAGACCUGCGACGGAGUUGAUAUGAACAAUUUUCUGCAGAAUAUGUUUUUCCCAAUUGAUCAUGUUCAAUGAGAAGGUCGAGUUUGGUUCACGAUGAUCAAAACCAUCUGGAUUGACAGCCAGACAAUAAAAACCAAUAUUGAAAAAAAGACAGCAGAAAAACAUGCAAAAGCUUAAUCAAUAUCAAGCAAACACAGCUAUUCAGAAGGAAACUUUAUCAAUAAAUUUCAAGUGCUUCAAAUUUUCAGGUUUCUGGAAAUAAAUAUCAACCAAGUAGCUAUCCAAAAAAAUUUUUGAUAGCUUACUAAAAGUGAUUUAAUAUGGCUUGAUGCAUCUAAUUUUUCAAUAACCCAUCACACAACCACUGAAAAGAAUGUUAAAUCUGCAGCAACCAACUUAAGAAGAUUGCUUCUCAAGGGUAAAAGGAAAAUUUGACAAAGUCUAAGAUCCGGUCUAAUUUAACUCUAUAAGUUCAUCUAUUCGACUUAACCAACUCAAUUACUUGUAUUUACCAUUAUACUAAGUAGGAAAACUGAAACAUUUGCAUCUGAAAAAUAAAUGCAUGCUGGAAUGAUAUCCCUUGCUUUUCACUUUUGCUAUAUUUAUGUUUUAGGAGAUAUGACUAGGUAAUCGCCAUGUGAGUUUGUAAUAAGUACAAAUCACAUGACGACUCAAAGAUCUAGGUAUAUUUACUUGCUACACUAUAACUACUAAUUUGAGAAUAAAAUGGCGACUCAAUACUUCACAUCAUUUACUAAUUGCUAAUAUUAGGUAGAAGUUUCACAAAGCUCAUCGCCUAAUCCUCACUGCCACCCAUUUUUGUCCACAAUAACUACGUAUGAAACCCAAUCCAUAUGACUUCUUUUUCCACUUCGCCCUUUUCCACUUUUCACUCUACUGAUUUAUCAUGUAUUUUAUUCAUUACAGUGAGGUUCAUAUUUGCAAUUCUAGUUAAAUUUUGGUAUCCCUUGGCCUGCAUCAUUUACCAAAACUUAAAAUGGUCCUAAUAAUAAUUCAAGGGAGAGUUCCUUGUAGCAGAGAAAUCUAUGAAUGAGUGAAAGUGCAAUAAGUAUUAUGCGUCUAGUAUAUUGAAGGUUGGAGAUAAAAAGAUGAGCCCCAUCCUGGGGCUCAAUCAUAGACAAUAAAAAAUAAAUUCAGAAAUUUUGAUACAUUUUAGAAAUUAAGAAAGAUGACUAGUGUACUGUGUGGCAUAGAUGAGACGAGAUACCACAUGUUGGUAUGAAGGAAAACAAUGCUCUCAAGGGUUAUAAACUUUGCUUUCUUGGGAUGGUGAUAAAUGAUGUUUGAUUCAUGUCGAAAAGCAGUAAAGCAGCAACCUAUUGAUGCUCUUAGAAGAACUUAGGUUCUGCAUAGUCAGUGAUACCAUUCACUUGCUACUGAAUUCUUGAAAAGGAUUCUGAUUAUAUAUUUGUUAUACAGUUAAAGUGGACACUAGAUGGGUGUAGUGACUGUCUGCUCUAAACAGCAAAACAGGAACAGGUAGCAAGCAGGCGAACAUAGAUGAACAAGACAGGUUGGCAUGGAAUGUAAAGCAUAAAACAGGAAGGAGAUGAAAAAUGAGUACAUAUGGUCCAGAUCAAGGACUUAACUGUCGUGGCACGGAGUCGUGCCAGAAACUUCCCGGCACCGUAAGGCACGGUGCAUGCCGAGCCGUGCCGAUGCGUGCUGAUCACAAAAAAUACAUGUGCCGACACAUAAUGGCAUGAAAUAUUUAUUUUCUUUAGCCACAAAUAUUCUAACUAUUUAUUAUGUAUUUUUAUCAAAUCUUUUGAACUUUAUUGAGAGAAUUACUUACU
rnacentral:lncRNA from 1 species